rnacentral:rRNA from 1 species
GACGAACGCUGGCGGCGUGCUUAACACAUGCAAGUCACGGGGGCUCGCAAGAGCAACCGGCGAACGGGUGCGUAACACGUGAGCAACCUGCCGAUCUGAGGGGGAUAGCCGGCCCAACGGCCGGGUAAUACCGCAUACGUUCUCGAGGGGGAGUCCUCUUGAGAAGAAACCUCCGGGGCAGAUCGAGGGGCUCGCGGCCUAUCAGCUAGUUGGUGAGGUAACGGCUCACCAAGGCAUCGACGGGUAGCUGGUCUGAGAGGAUGGCCAGCCACAUUGGGACUGAGAGACGGCCCAGACUCCUACGGGAGGCAGCAGUGGGGAAUAUUGGACAAUGGGCGAAAGCCUGAUCCAGCCAUGCCGCGUGAGUGAUGAAGGCCUUAGGGUUGUAAAGCUCUUUACCCGGGAAGAUAAUGACUGUACCGGGAGAAUAAGCCCCGGCUAACUUCGUGCCAGCCGCCGCGGU